rnacentral:rRNA from 1 species
CCUACGGGAGACAGCAGUGGGGAAUAUUGCACAAUGGGGGAAACCCUGAUGCAGCGACGCCGCGUGAGUGAAGAAGUUUUUCGGUAUGUAAAGCUCUAUCAGCAGGGAAGAAAAUGACGGUACCUGAUUAAGAAGCCCCGGCUAACUACGUGCCAGCAGCCGCGGUAAUACGUAGGGGGCAAGCGUUAUCCGGAUUUACUGGGGGUAAAGGGAGCGUAGACGGCAGCACAAGUCUGGAGUGAAAUGCCGGGGCUUAACCCCGGAACCGCUUUGGAAACUGUGCAGCUAGAGUGCAGGAGAGGUAAGUGGAAUGCCUAGUGUAGCGGUGAAAUGCGUAGAUAUUAGGAGGAACACCAGUGGCGAAGGCGGCUUACUGGACUGUAACUGACGUUGAGGCUCGAAAGCGUGGGGAGCGAACAGGAUUAGAUACCCGAGUAGUC